rnacentral:tRNA from 1 species
ACCUGUCUAGUUUAGUUGGUAGAGCGCAAGGCUCUUAGUCUUGUGGUCUUGGGUUCAAGCCCCAUGGUCAGUG